CCCUAGCCGUGAUAGUAACGGUUACCCCGCAGCAGGAAAUGGCUCUGAAAGAAAGCUCCGGCGCGAGGAGUAUGAGUGGAUAGCACGAAAAAGC
rnacentral:misc_RNA from 1 species